GUGAAUGAUGUAUUAUGUAACAUGUAGUUAGAUUCAGCGCUACUUGUAUUUAAUGUUUUCCUUUGUUUUUAGUUAUGAUAUUUUCCUGCUAGCACCUCUAAUGUAGCCGCCACCUAAACUACCAAUGACUAGCAUAGAUAUUAGCAUAGUAGUUCCUAGUCACAUCAUCACCGUCUCCAUCGAGUGCUACUAAUAGGGAUGAAAACAGAAGGAAAUGGACGGGAAAAUCCCUUACCCAUUUCUGUGUCCCAAUUUUAUCACCGGAAACAGAAUGGUUGGGAACGGUACCGAGAUAUUUAAGUAUCCUGGAACGGAAUAAUACGAAUGGAAAUAAAAUAAAAACCGGCGGGGACUUUAAACUUAAAUCAGGAUCGUACAUUCAAUCAAGUCCCAAACACUAGUUAACCAACAAAGUCUAGCACGACAUGACUAGCAUAGAUAUCAGCACACAGUAGUUCCUAGCCACAUCAUCAUCCGUCUCUAUCACACGAUCUAUGACAUCUCCUAACCAUACC
rnacentral:lncRNA from 1 species